UAGUGAAGGUAUUUAUUAGUUAUUUCAAAGCACUAAUUAGAUGCAUCUACUAUACAGCAAACAGUAAAUGGAUAGGAUUCAAGCCCACAUCUGACUCCAAUUCUGCCUCACUUCUUCCUUCUCAUCCUUAGCCCUUUUUCUGAAAAUUCCCUCAAUUUUACAGUAUCAGAUGUCACUAGAUGAAACACUGUAUCCUAAAAGUUAUUUUCGAUCCUAAACUAUACACAAUCCAAGUCCUUAGCAACAUUUAACAGGGAUGAAUACCAACUUUUGCAACAGCCUUUCACACCCUCAAAUCCCUACAACUGGCUCCCUCAAUGACUGCAGGUUUCUUGGGUGUCUCCUGGAAUAAACAUGGUGAUGAAUGCUGGAGGUGGGCCACUGUAUUCUUUGUUGACAUGGAUGUAACAGGAUCUGGACCUUCUAAUUCAGUCCAAUGUAAUAAAUGUCAAUAAUGCUUUCCCAUCUACUGUUAUCUAGGGACCUCACAUGUGAGUUCAUAGGAAAGGCUCGUGAACUGUAAUAUCAGGAUGUAGGAAGGCAAAAAAGUUUGAAUGAUUCUGCCAAAAGCCAAGUUGUAUGAGGCUCUCCCAACCACAUGCAUUUCCUAGUUCUGGAUAACCUUAUUCCCAAA
rnacentral:lncRNA from 1 species